GACGAACGCUGGCGGCGCGCCUAACACAUGCAAGUCGAACGAGCGAGAGAGAGCUUGCUUUCUCGAGCGAGUGGCGAACGGGUGAGUAACGCGUGAGGAACCUGCCUCAAAGAGGGGGACAACAGUUGGAAACGACUGCUAAUACCGCAUAAGCCCACGGGUCGGCAUCGACCAGAGGGAAAAGGAGCAAUCCGCUUUGAGAUGGCCUCGCGUCCGAUUAGCUAGUUGGUGAGGUAACGGCCCACCAAGGCGACGAUCGGUAGCCGGACUGAGAGGUUGAACGGCCACAUUGGGACUGAGACACGGCCCAGACUCCUACGGGAGGCAGCAGUGGGGAAUAUUGCACAAUGGGGGAAACCCUGAUGCAGCGACGCCGCGUGGAGGAAGAAGGUCUUCGGAUUGUAAACUCCUGUUGUUGGGGAAGAUAAUGACGGUACCCAACAAGGAAGUGACGGCUAACUACGUGCCAGCAGCCGCGGUAAAACGUAGGUCACAAGCGUUGUCCGGAAUUACUGGGUGUAAAGGGAGCGCAGGCGGGAAGACAAGUUGGAAGUGAAAUCUAUGGGCUCAACCCAUAAACUGCUUUCAAAACUGUUUUUCUUGAGUAGUGCAGAGGUAGGCGGAAUUCCCGGUGUAGCGGUGGAAUGCGUAGAUAUCGGGAGGAACACCAGUGGCGAAGGCGGCCUACUGGGCACCAACUGACGCUGAGGCUCGAAAGUGUGGGUAGCAAACAGAAUUAGAUACCCUGGUAGUCCACACCGUAAA
rnacentral:rRNA from 1 species